UGAAAUAUUUGGCUUAUAAAAUCAUUCCCAUUGGGAAAGAAUUGCAGAAGCGUCAGUCAUUCUCCUUUUAAGAUAAUUUUGAUUAAAAGGGUUACUGAAUUGUUUCUGCGAUGCCUUUCUUAAGAGAAGAUGCUGCUCAGAUCCCGUUUAAGUGGCUCGCUAAUACAAGAAGCAGAUCAUUUAAAAUGAACCUUACAUCUUUAUAGGAUGUUAGAAAUGAAGACAUUACCUCAAAAUAAAUAUUGGAACUCCAUAUUCAUAAUGGGGAGAUGGAGGAAGAGUAAAAGGAAGAGGAAGGUGAAGAGGAAGAAUAGUAAGAAAGAGGAAAGCACUCAUACCUCAUUCCUACAGAUGUGUC